rnacentral:rRNA from 1 species
AACGAACGCUGGCGGCAUGCCUAACACAUGCAAGUCGAACGAGACCUUCGGGUCUAGUGGCGCACGGGUGCGUAACGCGUGGGAACCUGCCCUUAGGUUCGGAAUAACUCAGAGAAAUUUGAGCUAAUACCGGAUAAUGUCUUCGGACCAAAGAUUUAUCGCCUUUGGAUGGGCCCGCGUAGGAUUAGCUUGUUGGUGGGGUAAUGGCCUACCAAGGCGACGAUCCUUAGCUGGUCUGAGAGGAUGAUCAGCCACACUGGGAAUGAGACACGGCCCAGACUCCUACGGGGGGCAGCAGUGGGGAAUAUUAGACAAGGGGGGAAAGUCUGAUACAGCAAUGCCGCGGGAGUGAUGAAGGCCUUUGGGUUGUAAAGCUCUUUUACCAGGGAUGAUAAUGACAGUACCUGGAGAAUAAGCUCCGGCUAACUCCGUG